rnacentral:lncRNA from 1 species
CGUGUUCAAAGAAUAUAAGAAAUUUGCAGACUAUACCAGAAGCCGAACUGGAAGUGUGUGAAGGGCGGGACGCGAAGGGAGAGAUGGGGCGAGGGGGGUCAGACGGAGGGAGGUCGAUGACCCGCCCGUCUAACAUAAGUGCCGGUUUUGACUAUUUCCCCCGAAAAUGUAUUUUAUCGCCCAGGACGCCCUUGAGACUCAGUGCUGUGGUGAUAUAUGAGGAUCCCUGUGAAGAUGAACAGUAGACAGAAAGUACAUGGAAAGUAACAGAAGAGAUACAGUAAGUGGGGCUAAAGUGACGGCGAGUGGUUGCGGCCCCGACCGUCAGUGGGUCCCGGCCAGCCAGCCGCGCCGCCACUUCCUCGCCGGGCGCCGCGCAGAGCACACACCCUCGCUGCCGGCCGCGCCACCCACCACGCCCUUCUGUCUCGCACGUCUCAGCGCCUCAGGGCGUCUUUAAGGUGCUGCUCAGUCUGUGGGGUCUCCUGCUACCUUGCAAACCAGACACUCAUGGAAAAGGAGGCGCCCUCCAAAACUAUAUUUAGCUGGCCACGAGGCAGCUGACCUGGCCAGUGGCGACCCGUUACGUGACGGUGCCUCCCGUCCCAUCCACCAGCCUCCGCACUGCACCAGCUGCUGCUGCUGCUGCUGCUGAUCCAGCCACCACCCUACUCAACCACUACGCUGCCAUGAUGCCACAGUGCCACGUGCCGGUACGAUCUCCCGCAAACCACUACGACCUCAUCUGUCCCAGUAAGCUUCCAUCGUUCCAACCUAUCCGCUGAAGUGAAGUCUGUGGAACCAACUUUUAUUUACCCACAUUCCCAUGUCCUUCGGCAACCAGCGUGACGUGACGUCUGGGAGCAGGCGCGACGGUGCCAUCAGCUGGGCGGGUGAGGGGGAGGAGGGGGCGGCACUAGGUAACAGUGAGGCCGGCAGCAGGGAGGCCUGUCUCGCUCAGCAACCAUUUCCCUCAAGCCGUCACCUUCCCUACCCAGAAAUCGUCAGUACUUCUGCAGGUGAAACUUCCUUUCCCGUCUGCACCCUCGUUCGUCUUCCAAAGCUCACGCCCCCUGUUACAUGUCCCCUUCCCCCAAUCAGUGUGCCAGUGGACAUCUUCCAUUACCCAUCCGAAGAAGGACAUCUGCUCGCAAUUUGACAUGCCACGUGGCUGUCGGCUUUGCUGCUCGCACCUACUCCUUACUGGAAGUGAAAGUUGGUCAGCCAAGGUUCUCAGCGAGGUCAGUGCAGCUUGCACCUGUCCGACCUCGCACGCCCCGCCGCCACCAAAGCGGCCCUUGGACACCACAAAGUGAUGAAGAGUGAACAGUGAACAUGGGAGUGUGAUGAUGGACACGGUGAAGGGGAGGACACAGUCAUUACCCUCAUGGCGUCACUGGAAGGAAUGUGUUGACAUACUCUUGUGUCGCCUCGUUCAAGGGCAGCCUUGUUACAGUGCUAGUAAGCCUUCGCCAGUUGACAAGAUGCUCUAGAGGACAUGCUUUACUCUCAUCACGUGAAACCUGGCGGAAGUUACGUCAUCGCAAACAAUGGCCGUCAUGAACCCAACCUCUCACUGGCCGCAGCUUCGACAGCGUCAUGAGAACGCUGCUUUCCAAUUGGUGCAGACACCACGAUGACGUAACGAAGACCCUCCUGAUUGGCCAGCGGUGAGCUGUGGCUGGUGACGUGGUAGCAGAGCAGAGCUGUGGUUGGUGGAUGCUUUGGCUGCCAGACCCAGCCAGGCCACUGUCGGGCUCACAUGGCUGGGAAUGGAAACCCCUCUCGCCUCCAGUCUGGAGGCUUCUCAUCAGCUGUUCGCAAGGGCGGAGCUACAACGGAGGGCCGCGGCCCGGCCUCUGCUCCCUCACAGCCCAGUACAGGGCCACAUCGAGACAUAUUCCUCGCCCGCUGAGGCACAGUAUGACUGUGGGCACUCAAUACUGAGGGAGUGUGCUGCGAUCAAGACAUAAUAGCCUCUAUGUUGCUUGCCCAUUGGGAUCAGUGAAAGUUCAGCCGGCGACACCUUGACAUCAGCUGCUGCCGGCCGGCUUGUCUUCGCUAGCUGUGACCCACUUGGACGCCUGACUCACCGCCAAAUUACUGAAGCUGCUGGAACCCAGGGAGGCCAGGCGUCUCACUCCGCUGCUGCGGGAAUGUAUGUCAUUAGCGAAUAUCCUGAUCAUUCCGCCUCUCACAUGACGGAUCCACGUUAAAUAUAGGCAAAGGGAGUGUGGCGCUGGGUGUGGGCGGGGCUGGGUCAUGUUCCUGGUUGUUGACGGGCAUGGGCGGAGCUCAUGCCUUGCCCGCCCUACAAAGAGCCAUUAAUUACGACUCGCUCAUCAUUAGGUUGCUUACGACCGCCAUCGUAAGUCACUGCAAGGUAGUCGGGCACUGUGGCAUCCAGGAAGUCAAGAGCUUCAUGGUGACGAGUGUUGCUGCUUCCUUUCGCCUGGAAUAGCCAUUCGUGCUAUUCGGUGUCUCCUUCCGCUGCGGAGCGUUACAAGUGCGAUGGACAGCCUGAGCUCAGUGUGGGGAGGGAUGAAGCCGUAAUAACGAGAGAAAAAAUAAAACUAUCACAUUACAUUGCCAAUAUAAUGGCUGGAGUUUUUGCCUCCGUGUAAGGACAAAAAAAGCAUGAGAAGUAAGACCCCGACACCCCAGGUAGAACAGUGUGGAUUCGCUCAUCCGUUCCGCCGCCAGUAAUUCCCUCCCACAAAAAAAAAAAAAAAAAGUUACUUGCAACAUUCAUUCGCAAGAGCCGCGAUCGCUAGACUCGAACACGACUCUUAGGCCUCUGGGUGGCCCAUUCCCCUCCACCCCCUCUUUCAUUCAGACCCGCUCGCCCUCUCUCGGAAGAUAACUAAUGUACCAUCAAAAGGUCACUUAAAGGUCUCUGAAACUCCCUCCCGACAAGGAUGGCAGCAGGGUAGCCAAAAGCGGCAACAACUCUGCAAACUAGGCUGCCUGAUAUCUCCUGAAGGGAGGGGAGGACGGUUACGACAGCACUGCUACACGUCAGGAAGGCUUAGCAUAUGAUGGCUGUGUGUGUGCGCGUGCGUGUGUAGGGGCGGAGAGGCACGAGUGGCGACCUCUGUUUACUGUUGCACCACUACCACCACCUCCACCAUCUCUCAAUAUCCCCUUUGGAAACGAAGCGUGCAAGUUUCUCUCUCAGUAAGGAGCUCAUUCCGGCAAUUUUCUGCGGUGGUAACAAUGGUAAUUUAUCAUGAAGCCACAGGAGAGGUACAGGACCCCGAUUCGCAUGCUAUUCACUUGACAUCGGAAGUGACGUCAUCAGAGUGAGGGAAUGAAUGGAUGGAACAGGAUGGGGGCGGGGCGGUAGAUUCGUAGUCCAUUCACGACCUUCUGCGAGGCUUGGCAUCAUGCAAAUGGAAUGUGAUGUUCAUAUUGAGGAACAACUCAGUCGUUUGUGUGAAUUAGAGGGUUGUCUAUGACAUUGUGUUAACAAUGUCUUUGUGGAGCGUCUGGUGUACAAGUACCUCCUCUUUUCUGUAACAAGAAACAAGCGUGACAAAAUAAGGCGGUGUGGAAAAAUGUGGAGCCUGCUUCACACAGCUGGUGUGUUGACGUCAUCAAAUAUGUGAGACGUGAGUGGCCGUACCGACCCAACGGUGAAACACAGCCCUCAUCUGACUGGUCGAGAAGCCUUGACGUCACUUUUUCGGAAACACCGAGUGGGUGCCGGGAGCGGUGAUUGGUUCAAGGGCCACAUUCCUGACGAUCCCAUGUGAGCCGCACCCGGACACGCUGCUGAUUUCAGAGGUUUGCCGGCUGUUGGAUCCCCAGCCCUUGGUGGCGCACGCGAAGCCGUAUCAUUAUUAGUCGCAGCAAGCCGUCAAGACCGAGAUCUCUGCCCAUCGCGACGCAUUGCUCACCUCAGCACGGCUAGCAGUAUAUUCAACUAGUGGAUAAAUGAGGAAUUACUAUGCUCGUCAGGGAUGAAUGGAGACGUACUGACCUCUGCUGCUUGCUGGGCUGGACCGGUGAGAGACCUGGAAGAGAGUUAGAGAUAUUUAAAAGUGGCGUUUUGAUAACUAUUAUUAGAAAAAAAAUAAUAACCACCGGGAAUAAAUACACAAAGAAAGAAAACUUCUUGAUAAGGAUAGCUAGGAUCAAGUGACAACAUGAAUGAGGAUGUUGGGGGUGGAGCUAUGAUUCAGAAGGAAACUGAAACCAUAAAUUAUAAUUAUAAAAAGUUAAUAAUCUUAGUAAAUCUCUCUCUCUCUCUCUCUCUCUCUCUCUCUCUCUCUCUCUCUCUCUCUCUCUCUCUCUCAACACCCCGCUUCCUUCUCAUGGUUUGUCCGUGUCUGGUCGUCUUACUCCUCCCUUCCUCCCGCUGCUUCCUCCAUCGCGGUAUAACUCCCUCCCUUCUUCCUUCCCACUCACUUGUCCUCCCUCCCUCUCUCCCUUUAUGAUUUCCUCCACAACCUCGUCCCUCUCCCUCUGUCCUUGUCUUACCCUGUUUGGUUCUACUGCACAUCACCUCAAGUAUGGCUUACUUGUUGCUUGGCUGUUUCCUUGUGUGUGUGUGUGUGUGUGUGUGUGUGUGUGUGUGUGUGUGUGUUUUUCUGUUAGCAUUAUUCCUAAUGGGAGACUUGCCGAGUUUCCUAAGAAUCAAGACCGAUACUAAUAAAUCGCACUUCUUUCGCCUCUCAUGAUGCAUCAGUACAAGCAGAGCGAGAUAAGCGUCCUUCUGCCGCCCCCCCUCCCCCUCCCCACACACACACACACACACACACACACACACACACACACACACACACUUUCUCACAUUCUGUCCCAAGGACACAAUUGGUGGAUCCCUCCGCUAUUAUUCCUGUCGUCCAUAACACCGGGGAAUCUGCAGCGACUGUAUUGGUCUGAGUUACCAGGUCCAGGCGGCGGAAGACCUUGGGGAAGGUGACUGAGCCGGCGGAGGAGGGAGGGCGGGGACGGCUCGCGGUUAGGAAGUCGUGACACCCGCGGGGAAGUGACGCCGCCAAGGAGGAAGCGGGGAGAGGAAAGGGUAAGACGCAGCGACGAUGGCCGGGAAUAUCCACAUUUUUAUAUUCUUUUAACGAAUGGAGGGAGUAGGACAGGUAGUGAUGAAAGAGGAGGGAAGUGGAUACGAGAAAGACCGAUCCCGCUUAUUCCUACGCCAUCCAACGGGAGAGGGAGUGCCUAACUUGCAACAGUCAUGGUCGUAAUUGAGUUAAGACAACGUGCACGAGUCUCACCUUGGUCACAUCCUCUUAUAUUUUAUCGACACCGUUUUCCUCCACUACUAGCCUCGCGGCGCCCCUACCACUUCCACUCCCUUACACUACCCUCCCACUCCCUCCCUCACAAGAACCCUUGGUAAACCUUAGAGCCAAUGAACGCUGUCGGAACCACCAGUGACUAGAUAUUACCGACGUCAAACAGAACUGGAUGAUAAGACGGGACAGAAUUAUUCCCAGUAUUGUUGUUAACCGGGUGUCGCUGAUCUUGCGCAACCCUACUCACCACCUGCCGCGCCUCGGGCGCCACCACCACCGUCGCCACGCUGCCCGCCGCCGUGACUGGGCAUGGUGUGGGCGGCCAGCAGACGGCAGUGAGUAAAGGGAACAGGAAGUCAGCAAGCGUUUGUUGGUAAUGUGGGAUGUUGUUGCCAAUGCCGCGCCACAAUUACGCGACUGGAGUUUGUGACACAGAACUCUCGAAUAUCAACUUCCUUUCCAUUCACAUACAACCGUAAUUACUAGGGUCUGAAGGGGCAAUUUGCCUUGGAAGCGGCCCUCCCUUCUUCCCUUCCUCGCUCUUUCCCUCCUUCCCUCCUCCCUACAUUGAGAGCUGCUCAUUUCAUCCUGCUUUCUUUUUCAUUGCUGUCACUUUUCUUCAACCUUUCAUGUGCGCUCUCUCUCUCUCUCUCUCUCUCUCUCUCUCUGGUAAUUCACACCCACUCCUCUGCCACGCCACGGUCAGCCACUCUUCCUUUCUCCCUCGUACUGUACAACCUAUUUCCUUAUCCUUUCAUGAACCAAGGGAAAAAAAAGUUCAUUCUUCAGUUCAUUCUGCAGGAUCAAUUACUUUUUUCCUUCCUUCCCCAACAAGCCUUUCCAUCCUUCCCCUUCCCACUCCACUCUCCCCCUUCCGCUCCCCUACCUCUCCCUUUCCUUUCCUCCCCCUCCUACACAUCCGCCGCUCGCAGUGUUACCAAAGCAAGACUUUUGAAGCGAUUUCUUUCAGAAUUUCAUCAGUGGCAAAAACUGCGUCGGUCAGUGAGACUAACUACAUUCCUGCAUUUUAAAAAUCCUUUGAGCGGAGAGAGGCGCGAAGGGGUCUAGUUAUAUAUCUGUGUUACUGUCACUGGCGAGGCCUUGCACUGGAAGUGCCGUGUGUGAUUGGGCGGGGCGAGGGAUGUAUGUCGGAGGUGGUAACACUGCAGCUGUCGCAGGGGUUUUCCAAUGUGUUGUGGCGGUGGGGAGGUGAAGGGGGAAGAUAGAGGUGGUAAGGUGGAGAGGGGGAAGGUGGAGGAAGAAAGGCACGGGGGGGGUUCUUACUUUCCCCUGACGCACCUUCCUCCUCCUCCUCCUCCUCCCUCUUGGUGCCGUCUGGGCUACCUUGCUUGGCAGUCUCAGUUCACGUCGCUGUGGUUUGCUUUUUCACAGCUAUAAACGCAUACUCCAUUUUAUCCCCAGAUCAGUAAAACAUAGUGUAAAAAUCAGUAAUCUUCCUGUCAUCAAAUCAGUUCGCCCCCACACUGAUAAGACAUGACGUAAUCCACUGAGGUAUGGCAGGUCAGUCAGCCGGUGGUGCCAGGCAGCCCGAGCACCCUCACCACGAGUGUGCUCAAGAUAAAGCAGUAGACAGACCGCUUUCUCUCAGACGCUUCCCCGAAAACACCGCCGUUCACUCUAGGAAAGGAAGGAAAGCGUUGCGACAUUUUCCGAGGAAAGCCUUCAGAUACGUCACGGCAAGCCUUGGCGAGCGAGCCACGUCAGACAGACAGAAGCUUGGUCUCCCUCCCUCUGCAUGUGGCGCCAUACCCUACUGCUAUCCUGACGCACUGGUAGCCCCUUCAUCUGUGAAAAGAAUGGUGGUGAUGGUGGUAGUAGUGGUGGGGCGUUAAGGUAGGAGGUGGCGAGUUUGAUUAUCACCUUGCUUUGUCUCUCCUUAUCUGAGUCCCACGUUACUACUAUCGCAACCAAUAAGCGUACACUAACCAUCAUCACCACCGUUGUAGACCUCAGACAUCACCGCCAGCUUCACAGCCCCCUCCCUCAGACCGCAGCGCAUUAGGGAAGCCAAAUACACUCGCACGCACGUAAGGAAAAGAAAUAUGAGUAUUAACAAGGACACUGGCGUCUGUCGUCUGUAUGCUUGGAAUGUCCAGUGUGUGUGUGUGUGUGUGUGUGUGUGUGUGUUCGGUGGCCAUCUUCCAGAGCGGUGUCUCUCUGUGUGUGUGUGUGUGUGUGUGUGUGUGUGUGUUCGGUGGCCAUCUUCCAGAGCGGUGUCUCUGUGUGUGUGUGUGUGUGUGUGUGUGUGUGUGUGUGUGUGUGUGUGUCCUGUAUUACAGCGGUGUCCACGGGCACGGAUUUCCCAGGGAGAAUAAGCGAGUCCAAUCAGUGGAUGACGGCUGCUGGAUGCGUCUGCCACACCGGAUGGAAAAGUGA